UAUCUAAAUACAAAUUCUAAAAUAUUGAAUUCAAAUACAGUUUCUGUUGGCACUGAAAUCGCUCCAUAACCAGGGCUGUUCUUCUGAUACCUCACUGCUACAUUUUCCCCCUUCACUACCACAACGGGAAGGCUAAUUCACUACCACAACUGGAAGGCUAAUUCACUACCACAACAGGAAGGCUAAUUCACUAACACAACGGAAAGGCUAAUUCACUAACACAACAGGAAGGCUAAUUCACUAUCACAACAGGAAGGCUAAUUCACUAACACAACAGGAAGGCUAAUUCACUAUCACAACUGGAAGGCUAAUUCACUAUCACAACAGGAAGGCUAAUUCACUAUCACAACAGGAAGGCUAAUUCACUACCACAACGGGAAGGCUAAUUCACUAACACAACGGGAAGGCUAAUUCACUACCACAACAGGAAGGCUAAUUCACUAUCACAACUGGAAGGCUAAUUCACUAUCACAACAGGAAGGCUAAUUCACUAUCACAACAGGAAGGCUAAUUCACUAUCACAACAGGAAGGCUAAUUCACUACCACAACGGGAAGGCUAAUUCACUACCACAACUGGAAGGCUAAUUCACUACCACAACGGGAAGGCUAAUUCACUACCACAACGGGAAGGCUAAUUCACUAACACAACGGGAAGGCUAAUUCACUACCACAACUGGAAGGCUAAUUCACUAACACAACGGGAAGGCUAAUUCACUAUCACAACGGGAAGGCUAAUUCACUACCACAACGGGAAGGCUAAUUCACUACCACAACAGGAAGGCUAAUUCACUAACACAACAGGAAGGCUAAUUCACUACCACAACGGGAAGGCUAAUUCACUAACACAACGGGAAGGCUAAUUCACUACCACAACUGGAAGGCUAAUUCACUAACACAACGGGAAGGCUAAUUCACUAUCACAACGGGAAGGCUAAUUCACUACCACAACGGGAAGGCUAAUUCACUACCACAACAGGAAGGCUAAUUCACUAACACAACAGGAAGGCUAAUUCACUACCACAACGGAAAGGCUAAUUCACUAACACAACAGGAAGGCUAAUUCACUAUCACAACAGGAAGGCUAAUUCACUAACACAACGGGAAGGCUAAUUCACUACCACAACUGGAAGGCUAAUUCACUAACACAACGGGAAGGCUAAUUCACUACCACAACAGGAAGGCUAAUUCACUAACACAACGGAAAGGCUAAUUCACUAUCACAACUGGAAGGCUAAUUCACUAUCACAACAGGAAGGCUAAUUCACUAUCACAACAGGAAGGCUAAUUCACUAACACAACAGGAAGGCUAAUUCACUAUCACAACAGGAAGGCUAAUUCACUACCAC
rnacentral:lncRNA from 1 species